rnacentral:rRNA from 1 species
AUGUGGGAAGACAAGGACAGCUGUGGAUGGAUUAAACUCUUGGCUCCAUUGAAAAGUAACCAACCAAACGGUUGCAUGGUACUAGCAACAACUAGAACAAAAUCAGUGGAAAAAAUGAUAGGAACUAUGGAUGAAGUCACAUUGAGUGGUCUGGAUGAAAAUGAGUUUUGGUUGUUCUUCAAGGCAUGUGCAUUUGGCAAUGACAACUGUGAGCACCAUCCUAGUUUGCAAUCUAUUGGGAAACAGAUUGCUAAAGCACUAAAAGGCUGCCCGCUAGCUGCACGAAGUGUUGGUGCACUUCUGAGCACAGAUGUUAGCUAUAAGCACUGGACGACAGUUCGGGACAAAUGGAAUUCUCUUCAAGAAUAUGUUGACGAUAUUUUAGCCAUCUUGAAGCUCAGUUAUGAUUAUGUACCAGUCCACCUUCAACGCUGUUUCUCAUACCGCUCUCUCUUUCCAGAGGACUACCGAUUUAAUGGGGAAAUUUUGGUCUAUGCAUGGAUAUCACAAAGUUUUGUGCAGUGCGAAGACCCUACGAUGAGAUUGGAGGAUAUAGGGCAGAAAUAUUUGGAUAGAUUAGUGGAUUUGGGCUUCUUCCAAAAAGAUGGCUCACACUAUUUUAUGCAUGAUCUAAUGCAUGAAUUGACAGGAACGGUUUCAUCAAAUGAGUGUGCUACUAUACAUGGAUUGAAACCUGAGGCAAUUAGAUCAAGUGUUCACCAUUUAUCAAUCAUAACUACUGCUUUUGAUAAAGAUGAAUGUGACACGGAUCUCCUAAUGAGCAGUUUGACAAAAUACUUCAGAAGGUUGGGCCUUUGCAAAAAUUGA